UGGGGAAUUUUGCACAAUGGGGGAAACCCUGAUGCAGCGACGCCGCGUGAUUUAGAAGGCCUUCGGGUUGUAAAAAUCUUUUGUAUGGGAAGAAAAUGACAGAACCAUACGAAUAAGGACCGGCUAAUUACGUGCCAGCAGCCGCGGUAAUACGUAAGGUCCGAGCGUUGUCCGGAAUCAUUGGGCGUAAAGGGUACGUAGGCGGAUAAGCAAGUUAGAAGUGAAAUCCUAUAGCUCAACUAUAGUAAGCUUUUAAAACUGCUCAUCUUGAGGUAUGGAAGGGAAAGUGGAAUUCCUAGUGUAGCGGUGAAAUGCGCAGAUAUUAGGAGGAAUACCGGUGGCGAAGGCGACUUUCUGGCCAUAUACUGACGCUGAGGUACGAAAGCGUGGGUAGCAAACAGG
rnacentral:rRNA from 1 species